rnacentral:rRNA from 1 species
AUGGACCCAGCCUUGCACAAGGCGGCGGUGCAGGGGAGCGUGGGAAGCCUGAAGAAGCUGGUGGCCGAGAACCCCGGCAUCCUUGGUUCCAAGACGCCCCAGCAGAACACCGCGCUGCACAUCGCCGCCGAGCUCGGCCAUGCCGGUUUCGCCGAGAAGGCCCUUGCUGUGGACGACAAGCUGCUCGUCAGCAAGAACGCUGACGGCGACACGCCGCUGCACCUGGCGGCCAGGGCGGGGAAGCUGGACGUGGCGGACCUGCUCAUCGGCCGAGCCAGCGCAUGGCCCGCGGAGCAUCCGCACCACUCCCCCGCCGCGCAGAAUGGAAAGACAGGGGAACCUUCCCGGAGCUCCCCUGGCACCGCGCAGGGGCCUCUGUUCAUGGCGAACAAGGUCGGCGACACCCCGCUGCACGAGGCGGUGAAGCACGGCAGGAGCACCGUCGCGCUCAAGCUGCUGGAUGCCGAGCCCGGCCGCGGCCACGCGCUGAACGUGAAGCAGCAGACGCCGCUGCACAUCGCUGCACGGGAGGGCCUCGCCGACGUCGUGGCCAAGAUCGUCAGCCAGCCCUGGGUCCACGAGAAGUUCGUCCCCUCCGACUCCGUCAGCGGCACCGCCCUGCACCAGGCCGUCCUCGGCGGCCACGCACGCGUGGUGGAGAUCUUGCUUGACGCGACGCCGCCGGACCAGAUCGGGUUGACGGACUCGAGCGAGAACAACGCGCUGCACUACGCGGCACAGAAGAACAACGCCCGCGUGGUGAAGCUGCUGCUCAACCGGAAGGUGGACCUGGCCUACAAGCGCAACCGUGACCUGCAGUCGCCGCUGCACGUGGCCGCCUAUUACGGCUCGACGGAGGCCAUGGUGGAGCUGCUGAAGCAGUGCCCCGACGUGGCGGAGAUGGUGGACAGCAACGGCCGGAACGCCUUCCACGUCGCCAUCACCAGCGGCAAGGUGGACGCGCUCAAGCGCCUGCUCAAGCACGUCCGCCCCGAGGAGAUCGUCAACCGCGUCGACCGCGCCGCAACACGCCGCUGCACCUCGCUGCCUCCCUGUCGCGCAUCCAGUCGGCGCUGCUCCUGCUCAAGGACCGCCGCGUCAACCCCUGCCUCCUCAACCGGGACGGCCAGUCCGCGCGCAGCCUCAUCGAGAAGCGCGCCGCCUCCGAGGAGAUGGACACCUACGAGAUGUACCUGUGGAAGACGCUCAAGAAGCACGAGGCCUCCAGGUGCAAGAAGGAGCAGCUGCCUCCGAUCGCCACUUAUCAGUCGCUGCGCAGCCGGAGGGCUGGCCACGACGAGUACUACGAGCUCAGCGUCGGGACCUACACGCUGGUGGCCACGCUGA